CUUCCCUCACAUCUGGACCUCACACCCACCCCCUCUCUCCUCUCUCUCUCGCGUCGAGAAGAAAGAAAGGAAGCGAAAGCUCUAGUAGUCUCGUCACCUGCACACAGACCGCUCGUGAGGCGAGAGAGAGAGGGGCCGAGGCCGAGGCCACCAAACCAAAAAGGAAAAUAUUUUUUUUCUUGGAGAAGAACACGCACGCAUACGCAUCGAGGAGGGAGGCGGGGGCAUACAGGAGAGGGUGGAAGGGAACCCUAGUCAAACAGAGACGGAUCUGCCCUCCGCCGCCGACGCCGACGCCGACAACGAUCGCCUGGGUCUGUCUGGAUGUGGAGAUCCUGAAUUCCUAGAAUCAAAUUUCUUGAGAUGGAUAUGAAGUGGGCAACAAGAGGACGAAGGGGGCUGGGUCUGAACAUGACAGGAAUGCAGCGAAGAAUCGUAUUCAGCUCUGCUUCCGCCUCUUGUUGAUGGGCUAUCUCAGUAAUGGAAUGAAGCAUCCAGGCACCCCUUGAACACCCUGUUUAUCAUUGUAUAUCACUAACAUAUUACGCUGGUUGUUGCAGAUUUCUUGCUAUACAGAAGGUCAAUAAUAGUUCUCUUCCAGUAGGUGCUAUUGCCCUGGAAGAUUGUUACUGAAUCCACCAGUUAAACAUUCAAGUUAUAUGCAUUUACACAUGACAUGGGGUCUCGUGGAAGGAUGUUAUUUGACCUCAAUGAGCUCCCAACAGAAGCUGACGAAGAAGAAGCUGCUGUUGUUGUGUCCCAACCUCAGCUUCCUGUUCCCAAUAUGUAUCCCUCAAAUUUGUUUCCACCACAAGAAGUGCCUUGGUCACAAGGGAUAUUAAACAACCAUGCCUUUAAUCAUGCAUCUUCUGGUUCAGGUUUUCAGCCUUUUGUGAGAAGUACAGAUUCACAAAAUGUAAAGAAUCCUAUGAAUACAGGAGAGAAUUUGGAUGCUACUGCGGCUUCUACAUCUGUGGUAACUAAUCAUUUAUCUGAUAGUGUUAUGUGUCCUACUGGGCCCUCCAAUCAGGUUGCACAAUCAGUUGAAAGAGAAGAGGGAGAGUGGUCUGAUGCAGAUGGUGCUUCUGACACAGCAGGUAGUAGUGUCAGCAACAAGGAAGAAUCUGCUGGUACUGCAAGUACUCAAGUGAAAAGAGAAUCCCAAGAGAGUGGACCUGCUAUUGUUAAAUCUAGUGAUGUGAUUAAAGAUGACAUUGCUCCUGAACCUGGUGACACUGAAAUGUCUGAUGUGUCUAAAGGUCCAGUCCUUCAUGGUCCGACAGGACUAGAGAGCAUGAAAACGUCUGAAUCUAAAGGAAGUCAACCUGUGGAUGAUUUGGACCAGUGCACUAAGUCAAAGGAUGUCAGAGGAGUAGAAGCCAGUUAUGCAUUGAAGUGCACGAACAACCCUGCAAAGAGACCUAAGUUAGAUGAUCACAAAGUUGCAAUGCUUGGUAAAAAGCGAGCGAGGCAGACUGUGUUCAUCAAUGUUGAGGAUGCAAAACAAGCUGGCACAAUGAAGACAAUUACACCGAGGAGACAGUCAUCUUUUCCAGCACCAAUUGUUACACGUACCGUGAAAGAAGCUUCUCGUGGUGUUGGUGAAAGAGCUGCAGACAAGCAGAACCAACCAGUCAUCAGGGAUCAGAGACAAUCUGAGAUGAUUGGUUCAGAAAGAAGUAAUUCUGCAGAUCCUUGUGACCAAAAUGGAGAAUCUAAUGGUGAUUUUGAGUUGGGAUCUCACGGCAGGUCAAAGAAAAUGAAUGCCGAAGAACCCCCCUCAGAUAGUUACCAGCAAUCUGUGCCAAGGCAGGCCUUUUCAAAGCAGCCCACGGAUUCCAAGCAGUUCAAAGGCAGACCAGUCUCUUCCCAGAGAGCACUUCUAACAGGACAACAUACUGCAGAUCAGAAGCCAGCUAACAAAAGGUCUCUUGUUCCAAAGAAGCAAGCUUCAGUUAAUAACACACAGUAUAAUGACUCAUCUGUCGAACGACUUAUACGGGAAGUGACAAAUGGCAAGUUCUGGCACAAUCCAGAGGAGGAAGAACUUCAGUGUGUUCCUGGAAGCUUUGAUUCUGCCGAGGAGUACAUUAGAGUUUUUGAGCCUUUGCUUUUUGAGGAAUGCAGAGCUCAGCUAUACAGUUCCUACGAGGAGAGUCUCGAGGCUGUAUCAAGGGAUGCACAUGUAAUGGUGCGCGUGAAAAGUGUGGAUAGGCGUGAAAGAGGAUGGUAUGAUGUUAUUGUUUUGCCAACACAUGAAUAUAAAUGGACUUUUAAAGAAGGAGAAGUUGCAAUUUUGUCGUCCCCCCGGCCUGGUUCAGCUGCCCAAUCAAGUAGAUCUAAUAGGAAGACCGCUGCUUCAAAUGAAGACGCUGAAGCUGACUGUGGACGGCUUGUAGGUACAGUCAGACGCCAUAUGCCUAUUGAUACGCGUGAUCCCAUUGGAGCAAUUAUCCAUUUUUAUUCUGGGGAUUCAUUUGAUUGUAGCAGCGAGACUAAUGUUCUGAGGAAACUGCAACCUCGAAGCACCUGGUAUCUAACGGGUCUUGGUUCCCUUGCAACAACACAAAGGGAAUAUGUAGCAUUGCAUGCAUUCCGCCGUCUUAAUGUGCAGAUGCAAAACGCAAUUCUUCAGCCAAGUCCAGAGCACUUCCCAAAAUAUCAAGAGCAGCCGCCUGCUAUGCCUGACUGUUUCACUCCAAGUUUUUCUGAUCAUAUCAAUCGUACUUUCAAUGGGCCUCAGCUAUCGGCGAUUCAUUGGGCUGCAAUGCACACAGCUGCUGGCACAAGCAAUGGAGUGGUCAAGAAACAAGAACCAUGGCCUUUCACAUUAGUACAAGGUCCUCCGGGGACAGGGAAAACCCAUACCGUGUGGGGAAUGUUAAAUGUUAUUCAUCUUGUUCAGUAUCAACAUUACUAUGCUGCUCUGCUAAAGAAACUUGCUCCUGAAAGUUACAAGCAAGUUGGUAGUACCACUAACAGCAGCUCAGAGGCUUUUGCUGCUGGGUCUAUUGAUGAAGUUUUGCAGAGCAUGGAUCAGAACCUUUUCCGCACUCUUCCCAAGCUUUGCCCCAAACCACGGAUGCUUGUGUGUGCCCCAUCAAAUGCUGCAACAGAUGAGCUGCUUUCUCGUGUUCUUGACCGAGGUUUCAUAGACGGUGAGAUGAAGGUUUACCGCCCUGAUGUUGCCCGUGUUGGAGUUGACACACAGUCUCGUGCUGCCCAAGCUGUAUCAGUUGAGCGACGGACGGAACAGCUUUUAAUGAAGGGCCGUGAUGAAGUAAUUGGGUGGUUGCAGCAGCUAAAAGGCCGUGAGCAGCAGUUAUCACAGGAGAUAGGGCUUCUACAGAGGGAACUUAAUAUCGUUGCAGCAGCUGGUAGAUCCCAUGGUUCGGUUGGGGUAGAUCCUGAUGUGCUUGCUCACAGGGAUCGUAACCGUGACAUUCUGCUUCAAAAACUUGCUGCCUCUGUAGAAAGCAGGGAUAAAGUACUUGUAGAGAUGUCAAGGCUGCUGAUAUUAGAAAGCAGGUUCCGUGUUGGUAGCAACUUCAAUCUGGAAGAUGCUAGGUCUAGUCUGGAAGCCAGUUUCGCCAACGAAGCAGAAAUUGUUUUUACAACAGUGUCAAGCAGCGGGCGCAGGUUAUUUUCUCGCCUUAGUCAUGGUUUUGAUAUGGUUGUUAUCGAUGAGGCUGCUCAGGCCAGUGAAGUUGGAGUCCUCCCUCCACUUGCACUUGGUGCCGCUAGAUGUGUCUUGGUAGGUGAUCCACAGCAGCUCCCUGCCACUGUUAUUAGUAAAGCGGCUGGAACUUUACUCUAUAGCAGGAGCCUUUUUGAGAGGUUUCAGCAGGCUGGUUGCCCUACCAUUUUGUUGUCAGUGCAAUAUCGGAUGCAUCCCCAGAUCCGAGAGUUUCCAUCACGAUACUUCUAUCAAGGCCGCCUUACAGACAGUGAAAGUGUUGUCAAACUGCCUGAUGAGUUGUAUUACAAAGAUGCAUUAAUGGCACCUUACAUAUUUUAUGACAUCUCACAUGGUCGUGAGUCUCAUAGAGGUGGAUCAUCUUCAUACCAGAAUGUUCAUGAAGCUCAGUUUGCAUUGCGUUUAUAUGAGCAUCUUCAGAAGCUCGUGAAAGUUAAUGGUGGUAAGAAGGCAUCUGUUGGUAUAAUCACUCCAUAUAAGUUGCAGUUGAAGUGUCUUCAGCGGGAAUUUGAGGAGGUCAUGAAUACUGAGGAAGGGAAAGAUAUCUACAUAAACACAGUAGAUGCUUUUCAAGGCCAGGAGCGUGAUGUGAUUAUCAUGUCAUGCGUGCGUGCUUCAAACCAUGGUGUGGGUUUUGUUGCAGAUAUACGGCGCAUGAAUGUUGCUCUUACUCGAGCUAGGAGAGCUCUAUGGGUUGUUGGUAAUGCCAGUGCUCUCAUGCAGUCAGAGGACUGGGCGGCGCUGGUAGCAGAUGCAAAGGCCAGGAAAUGUUUCAUGGACUUGGAUAGCAUCCCCAAGGACUUUCUGGCCAUGAAGAUCUCUUCCAACACUCCAGGAAGGAAUACUUCAAACAACCUAAGGAACUUGAGGACUGGUGGACCAAGACCGAGGCAUUUGGACAUGCUUCCGGACCCCAGGAUUGGCAUGAGGGCUGAUGAGGAUGAGCGUCCUAACUCUGUUCCAAGAAAUGCUAGUUACCGGAAUUUGGAUGACCUGGGACGAUCUGGUGAUAGAUCUAGGGAAAGUUUGCAGUUUGGAGUGGCCAAGAGGCCGAAUUCAUCCAAUGGUUCUCGGAGAGAAGUCUGAAGACAAUGCAUUGCUAUCUUCAUCUUUGCGUGCGCGUAACAAUGAUGAGCUUCCUCGGGAUGAAGCUUGGUUGGAGCAAAGCAUCACCUAUUGGAAGAUGUACACCCUGGGUGGGUUGUGUUAAGGAGAAGGCAUUAUUGACAUAAUGAAAGGAUUCCUCAUGAAAUGAGUAGGCCUCUCGGCGGCAUGUUGCAACAACAGCCACUGACGGCAGGCCAAUCAGAUCGUCAGAUGGCGCUCUGUUGGGUGGUUCAGAUUACAGUAGAAAAAGGCUGCCCCAGGUCCUCAGUGUUCUGCAAUUGUGCAGGACACAUUUGGUCUGUUGAUAUAACCAGACUUCAACAAGGCUGCAGCUGGAUGGUUUCUUUCUGGGAUUGCAAUACUUGCUUUCUCAUAGUUAUAAAUACAUGCGCAUGGGCAUUUCCAUUUUGAGACAUGCCAGGAGAGAUAAAUCUCACUGGCCCUAGAGCAAGGGUAUACCUGAUCAUGUUUCAUAAUCUGUCAGAAGAGUGAGGACACAUCUUAGCUUGGAAUGCUGCUGGUUCGGUGGUGGUCCUCUGAGAUGUCAGGCUACACCUUAUGAUGUACUAUGACUUCGAUCCUGGCUGGGUGCUGCUGGACAGUGGUGGUCAUCGAAGAUCUCAGGGUGUUUCCUGUUCUGUCGGGUUUGGUGCUGUUGUACGACACGAAAAGAUUACUUGCCAGCUUGGUGUGAUGCAUGUAUGCCCUAAGGAAGACCUUACGUCCAAGCUGGAGUGCUUUUCUGGUACUUGAAAGCGAACAUGCUGCAAACUGUGAUUAUUUCAAUUCGCAAUGUAACACAGAUUGUGAUUAUUUUUCUGGCGAAAAGGAUCUGAUACAUUAUGAAGAUUCACUUGAAGUA